rnacentral:rRNA from 1 species
GAUGAACGCUGGCGGCGUGCCUAAUACAUGCAAGUCGAGCGAACAGACGAGGAGCUUGCUCCUCUGACGUUAGCGGCGGACGGGUGAGUAACACGUGGAUAACCUACCUAUAAGACUGGGAUAACUACGGGAAACCGGAGCUAAUACCGGAGAAUAUAUUGAACCGCAUGGUUCAAUAGUGAAUGACGGUUUUGCUGUCUCUUAUAGAUGGAUCCGCGCCGCAUUAGCUAGUUGGUAAGGUAACGGCUUACCAAGGCAACGAUGCGUAGCCGACCUGAGAGGGUGAUCGGCCACACUGGAACUGAGACACGGUCCAGACUCCUACGGGAGGCAGCAGUAGGGAAUCUUACGCAAUGGGCGAAAGCCUGACGGAGCAACGCCGCGUGAGUGAUGAAGGUCUUCGGAUCGUAAAACUCUGUUAUUAGGGAAGAACAAAUGUGUAAGUAACUAUGCACGUCUUGACGGUACCUAAUCAGAAAGCCACGGCUAACUACGUG